rnacentral:rRNA from 1 species
AUUGAACGCUGGCGGCAGGCCUAACACAUGCAAGUCGAGCGAGCGGCGGACGGGGGAGUAAUGUCUGGGAAACACUCUGUUGGAGGGGGAUAACUACUGGAGACGGUAGAUAAUACCGCACAUCAUCUGAUGUGUCCAGAUGGGAUUAGCUGGUAGGUGGGGUAACGGCUCACCUAGGCGACGAUCCCUAGCUGGUCUGAGAGGAUGACCAGCCACACUGGAACUGAGACACGGUCCAGACUCCUACGGGAGGCAGCAGUGGGGAAUAUUGCACAAUGGGCGCAAGCCUGAUGCAGCCAUGCCGCGUGUGUGAAGAAGGCCUUCGGGUUGUAAAGCACUUUCAGCGGGGAGGCGUUACCCGCAGAAGAAGCACCGGCUAACUCCGUGCCAGCAGCCGCGGUAAUUC